rnacentral:rRNA from 1 species
UGGGGGAUAUUGCACAAUGGGCGAAAGCCUGAUGCAGCGACGCCGCGUGGGGGAUGAAGGCUUUCGGGUUGUAAACCUCUUUCGCUAUCGAACAAGGCCCGCUUAGGGUGGGUUGAGGGUAGGUGGAGAAGAAGCGCCGGCUAACUACGUGCCAGCAGCCGCGGUAAUACGUAGGGCGCGAGCGUUGUCCGGAAUUAUUGGGCGCAAAGGGCUUGUAGGCGGCUUGUUGCGCCUGCUGUGAAAACGCGGGGCUUAACUUCGCGCGUGCAGUGGGUCCGGGCAGGCUUGAGUCUGGUCGGGGUGACUGGCAUUCCAGGUGUAGCGGUGGACUGCGCAGAUAUCUGGAGGAACACCGAUGGCGAAGGCAGGUCACUGGGCCAUUACUGACGCUGAGGAGCGAAAGCAUGGGUAGCGAACAGG